AACAAUGGAUACCUCGUAAGGGAGGGGAUUAGUGGCGAACGGGUGAGUAACACGUGGGCAAUCUGCCCUGCACUCUGGGACAAGCCCUGGAAACGGGGUCUAAUACCGGAUACUGACCCGCUUGGGCAUCCAAGCGGUUCGAAAGCUCCGGCGGUGCAGGAUGACCCCGCGGCCUAUCAGCUUGUUGGUGAGGUAAUGGCUCACCAAGGCGACGACGGGUAGCCGGCCUGAGAGGGCGACCGGCCACACUGGGACUGAGACACGGCCCACACUCCUACGGGAGGCAGCAGUGGGGAAUAUUGCACAGUGGGCGAAAGCCUGAUGCAGCGACGCCGCGUGAGGGAUGACGGCCUUCGGGUUGUAAACCUCUUUCAGCAGGGAAGAAGCGAAAGUGACGGUACCUGCAAAAGAAGCGCCGGCUAACUACGUGCCAGCAGCCGCGGUAAUACGUAGGGCGCGAGCGUUGUCCGGAAUUAUUGGGCGUAAAGAGCUCGUAGGCGGCUUGUCACGUCGGUUGUGAAAGCCCGGGGCUUAACCCCGGGUCUGCAGUCGAUACGGGCAGGCUAGAGUUCGGUAGGGGAGAUCGGAAUUCCUGGUGUAGCGGUGAAAUGCGCAUAUAUCAGGAGGAACACCGGUGGAGAAGGCGGAUCUCUGGGCCGAUACUGACGCUGAGGAGCGAAAGCGUGGAGAGCGAACAAGAUUAUAUACCCUGGUAGUCCACGCCGUAAACGGUGGGCACUAGGUGUGGGGCGACAUUCCACGUCGUCCGUGCC
rnacentral:rRNA from 1 species